GCACUGCUGAAGAGUCCCAUAAUAGGACGAAACGGCCGUCCAGUGU
rfam:Schistosoma mansoni, Puerto Rico, WGS project CABG01000000 data, contig: 0253